AUUGAACGCUGGCGGCAUGCCUUACACAUGCAAGUCGAACGGUAACAGGUCUUCGGAUGCUGACGAGUGGCGAACGGGUGCGUAAUACAUCGGAACGUGCCCGAUCGUGGGGGAUAACGAAGCGAAAGCUUUGCUAAUACCGCAUAAGAUCUACGGAUGAAAGCAGGGGACCGCAAGGCCUUGCGCGAACGGAGCGGCCGAUGGCAGAUUAGGUAGUUGGUGGGAUAAAAGCUUACCAAGCCGACGAUCUGUAGCUGGUCUGAGAGGACGACCAGCCACACUGGGACUGAGACACGGCCCAGACUCCUACGGGAGGCAGCAGUGGGGAAUUUUGGACAAUGGGCGAAAGCGUGAUCCAGCCAUGCCGCGUGCAGGAUGAAGGCCUGCGGGUUGUAAACUGCUUUUGUACGGAACGAAAAGACUCUGGUUAAUACCUGGGGUCCAGGACGGUACCGUAAGAAUAAGCACCGGCUAACUACGU
rnacentral:rRNA from 1 species